rnacentral:lncRNA from 1 species
GUGGUUUGGUUUUUCCCUUACACAGAUUUUACUAAGAGGACCCCGUAUAAGGCAAGAACAAAGAUGGGGAUGGCAAAUGAAAAACGAACUCCGUGCCACAGAUGAGAGAGAGGAAGGAAGGAAACCCCUGCUCCUCCCCAGGCCCCAGAAGAGAUCAGUUGGCAGCAGGACUGGUGCUGCAUCACUCCAUUCUACAGAUCCUGGAACAAGGGGGCAGGAUGCAGCAAAAAAAUACCCUUUAUAUGGACACGAACCCUGAGGGUAGCCACUACUUUCCUUGCUCCCUGCACGGACACCUCUCCUCAUCCCUGCUGUUCUGGCUGUAGGGAUUUAGCUGAAGUAACCUGGGAAGAACACAGCAGGCAGUUUAAAGGGUCUGUCUCACUGGAGGACGGGGGUUACUCUGCCAUCCAGUUCCAUCUCAUCCCAACCCCUAGGUGCUUCCUCUCUGCGGAGGUGAGGCGUUUUUGUGGUGCUUCAGUAUCCCCAUCUCAGGAGGCCGCGAGCUGCCCCUGCCCCGUGAGCAGCGCAGGGAGCGAGCUGGUCACUGCAGCAGCCCGGGGCAGGGCGGUGGCAGCAGGACAGGCGCUGCCAGCCCUGCUGCGGGCAGUGCCGGCCGCGCAGUGUGACAGACGCGGAUCUCAGGUGACUGUGGCAGGGGGUGCCCUGCUGAGCUCAGGGCUGGGGAGGGGACACCGUGCCCUGCCAGCCGUGCCAGCCGUGCCAGCCGUGCCCUGCAGCAGAGCCCUGCUGUCCCUGCUGUCCCUGCUGUCCCUGCUGUCCCUGCUGUCCCUGCUGUCCCUGCUCCCCACACCCGGCGCUGCCCGUGCAGUGCCAGACCCGCCCGGAGCCCCGGGCAGCUGCUGCGGGGCGCGGCCCGGGCUCUGCAGGAGCCCUCGCUGCCCUCCGGCCGCCCGGGCUCUGCCCUGGCUGUCCCCGCUGUCCCCUCCCGGCCCGGCCCGGCCCGGCCCACACUGCAGGACUGGCCCGGGCGCUGGCCGUGCCACAGGAGCUGUCUGACCCCAAACCCUGCCUGAGCCUCCAAGGGCUUGUCUGCACACACCAGGGCACCAGAAGGACUAGUAUGAAUUAAUUCUGAUCGUUAUUUUGAUGCCAGUUUUAAAGUAUACCGGAUUAGUCUGAGCUUUGUCCUUUUUUAAAAAAAAAAAUAAAAAAUGCAUUUUUUUUAUACCA